rnacentral:rRNA from 1 species
CCAAUAGCGUAUAUUAAAGUUGUUGCAGUUAAAAAGCUCGUAGUUGAAUUUCGGGAUCAGUACGCUGGUCGUGCCUCCGGUAUGUACUGGUGUCACUGGUUCCUCCCUUCUGAAGAACCAUCAUGCUAUUAAUUUAGUGUGGUGGGAAAUCAGGACUGUUACUUUGAAAAAAUUAGAGUGUUUAAAGCAGGCUCACGCUUGAAUACAUUAGCAUGGAAUAAUGAAAUAGGACGUUGAUCCUAUUUUGUUGGUUUCUAGGAUUGACGUAAUGAUUAAUAGGGAUAGUUGGGGGCAUUAGUAUUCAAUCGUCAGAGGUGAAAUUCUUGGAUUUAUUGAAGACUAACUACUGCGAAAGCAUUUGCCAAGGAUGUUUUCAUUAAUCAAGAACGAAAGUUAGGGGAUCGAAGACGAUCAGAUACCGUCGUAGUCUUAACCAUAAACUAUGCCGACUAGGGAUCGGAUGAUGUUAAUUUUUUAAUGACUCAUUCGGCGCCUUACG